CAACCCUGAUCCAGCCAUGCCGCGUGUGCGAAGAAGGCCUUCGGGUUGUAAAGGACUUUUGUUAGGGAAGAAAAGGGAAGUGCUAAUACCACUUUUUGCUGACGGUACCUAAAGGAUAAGCACCGGCUAACUACGUGCCAGCAGCCGCGGUAAUACGUAGGGUGCGAGCGUUAAUCGGAAUUACUGGGCGUAAAGCGAGCGCAGACGGUUACUUAAGCAGGAUGUGAAAUCCCCGGGCUCAACCUGGGAACUGCGUUCUGAACUGGGUAGCUAGAGUAUGUCAGAGGGGGGUAGAAUUCCAUGUGUAGCAGUGAAAUGCGUAGAGAUGUGGAGGAAUACCGAUGGCGAAGGCAGCCCCCUGGGAUAAUACUGACGUUCAUGCUCGAAAGCGUGGGUAGCAAACAGG
rnacentral:rRNA from 1 species